rnacentral:rRNA from 1 species
GUUAUAACCGGCGAUUUCCGAAUGGGGAAACCCAGUGUGUUUCGACACACUAUCAUUAACUGAAUCCAUAGGUUAAUGAGGCGAACCGGGGGAACUGAAACAUCUAAGUACCCCGAGGAAAAGAAAUCAACCGAGAUUCCCCCAGUAGCGGCGAGCGAACGGGGAGCAGCCCAGAGCCUGAAUCAGUGUGUGUGUUAGUGGAAGCGUCUGGAAAGGCGUGCGAUACAGGGUGACAGCCCCGUACACAAAAAUGCACAUACUGUGAGCUCGAUGAGUAGGGCGGGACACGUGGUAUCCUGUCUGAAUAUGGGGGGACCAUCCUCCAAGGCUAAAUACUCCUGACUGACCGAUAGUGAACCAGUACCGUGAGGGAAAGGCGAAAAGAACCCCGGCGAGGGGAGUGAAAAAGAACCUGAAACCGUGUACGUACAAGCAGUGGGAGCCUCUUAAUGGGGUGACUGCGUACCUUUUGUAUAAUGGGUCAGCGACUUAUAUUCUGUAGCAAGGUUAACCGAAUAGGGGAGCCGAAGGGAAACCGAGUCUUAACUGGGCGUUAAGUUGCAGGGUAUAGACCCGAAACCCGGUGAUCUAGCCAUGGGCAGGUUGAAGGUUGGGUAACACUAACUGGAGGACCGAACCGACUAAUGUUGAAAAAUUAGCGGAUGACUUGUGGCUGGGGGUGAAAGGCCAAUCAAACCGGGAGAUAGCUGGUUCUCCCCGAAAGCUAUUUAGGUAGCGCCUCGUGAAUUCAUCUCCGGGGGUAGAGCACUGUUUCGGCAAGGGGGUCAUCCCGACUUACCAACCCGAUGCAAACUGCGAAUACCGGAGAAUGUUAUCACGGGAGACACACGGCGGGUGCUAACGUCCGU